ACAAUGGGCGCAAGCUGAUCCAGCCAUGCCGCGUGAGUGAUGAAGGCCCUAGGGUUGUAAAGCUCUUUCAGCGGGGACGAUAAUGACGGUACCCGCAGAAGAAGCCCCGGCUAACUCCGUGCCAGCAGCCGCGGUAAUACGGAGGGGGCUAGCGUUGUUCGGAAUUACUGGGCGUAAAGCGCACGUAGGCGGACUGUUAAGUCAGGGGUGAAAUCCCGAGGCUCAACCUCGGAACAGCCUCUGAUACUGGCAGUCUAGAGUCCGAGAGAGGUGAGUGGAAUUCCGAGUGUAGAGGUGAAAUUCGUAGAUAUUCGGAGGAACACCAGUGGCGAAGGCGGCUCACUGGCUCGGUACUGACGCUGAGGUGGAAAGCGUGGGAGCAAACAGGAUUAGAUACCCUGGUAGUCCA
rnacentral:rRNA from 1 species